CACACACACACACACACAGAGGUGAAAGGAUGAAUUUUAUCCACAGAUUUUUGAUCCGUGUGUGUGUGUGUGUG